CUGGAGGAAGCCCUGGCGACGAGGGAAGCCGAUCUCCUGGCGAGUUGAGGAAGAUAGCGGGAGUUGGAGGUGAAGGAGCACGGAAGGGCUCGUCCCUUCAGGAGCUGCCUCACAGCAGCUGCAGCGUCCCAGGACGAGCUGCUGGAGGCUAGAGACGGGGAGGAAGAAACUAAAGCGUGAGCGGCCGCCAUUUCCCUCAGGACGCAGCACCUUGGGUAGUAAUCUGCUACCGCAGGCCGACCACCGCUCCUCAAGUUUUCUCUUAUGCGAAUGCACGCCACCGAGAUCAAUCCGAAUCGGAAGGAGAGGAAGAAGAAGCAGUGGGAGAUAAGUGGUGGUGCGUCGGCUGGCAGAGAAUCUGGAGCAGGCUAAUGGGAAGCAACUCCUCAGGGCCAGGGAACGGAUGAUGGAUAGAGAAUUCAUGGCCCAGUAGAAGCUCCAGUGGUCGGUCCUUUGAGGAGAGAGAAGGGAGAGAGCCGCAACUGAUCAAAACAAGCGACGACUCAGAGUCCACAGAAAGCUUUUGGACGCAGGUAGGCCCAUGAGCCAGUGGAAGAGGGCGAGGGUAAUCCUGUAAUUAAGAGAAGGAGAGAGGGUCUUUGAUAUGCGUGAGAUCGUUUUCAUUCAUGCACGCGUCGACGUGCCGUCCUUUGGGACGCUGCCGGAUUGGCGGCAUUUUUCCCGGGAUUCUUUCCUCCCUCUGUCUCUCUCCAUCCUCUGUCCGUGGUCUGGAGUUCUUUUUGUAUCUCGCGAUCACUCGCCGGAAAAUGGAUGAUAGCUCUUCUCGAGUCUGCCCCAAGAAUUUCUGAUCUGCCUUCCGCGAUAUGAACGAGUGUCCGGCUUGCGACAUCUAACGGUCGGUGGAGGCCCAUUGAAGAAAUUCUGAGAAAUUCGUCUGAGAAGAAAAAGGGUAAUGCUUAACUGAUUUGUUUAGAUCCGGUUCUUCAAUCCGUUUAUGUGCAUGAGCGUCACUUCCUAAUAAGAAAUUUUGGACAAUUCUGUGUCGAUAGGAAUUUUGUUCAUCUGAAUUAUUUUUGCUGCGAGAUGUUUCGUCAUCAAGUGGAAAUGGAUGAGUACAUGGAAGAUUAUAAUGAAAUGGGAGACGUUAAUGAUGACAUUGACGGCGUAUUUUGUUGUAGAGGAGCAAGGGCAUCUGGGUCCGAAGAUAACUACGAGAAUAUACCCUAUUUGGCGCAAGCCCAGGAGAGGAAAAGACGGAAAAGACAUUCAGGAGAUCCGCCUGGGAGAGGCUAAGUAUAGCUGGAGAAAAAUAUCGGCAAGUUAGGUUGGAACCGCUCAAGAAUUAUGAAACAUUCUUCCAUCUGAGAUCGGUCUGAGGUAGUACUUUGUUCGUCUUGCAUGGAACUACCUGCAUCAAGUGUUCAUUAUGCACCAGUUCUCGACCCCUGGUUUUCUCGUUAGCACAUCAUUUGGUGCCACCACAGUUCCACGGAGCAACUGGUGGAAUGGCUCUGUGGGUUUAGGCGUUGUAUAAUUUCAGUAUCACUGUACAUGCACAGGAAGGCAGAAAAGCGAAUGACAAAUGGCAGGUGCUACCAAUUUUGGCAUAGCGUUUGAUAUGUGAAAUUCAUGGUUCUGCAUUUUCAGGCACUCUUCCUGCUUCCCAGGUGCCAUGGUGUGUACGACUGGGUGACUGUUUGGCGUGCAUAACCAGAAGGGAAACUGAAGCAUGAAAGAAGCGAUGCAGCAGAGAAUCAGAGGUUAUUCAUGACCCGUCAUGCCUAAGAAAUUGGAGCUAAUAGUAUGCUGUUAACAGUUAUAUGCUUAAAUCACGUUGAUGUUGUGAUUAUUUAGUAAGUCAAAAGGUGAUUCAAAGGCUGCAAUCCAACUUCACAGUGCCUUACCUUUUAAGAAGAUAAAGAAUUUGUUCUGGGCUCAGGAGUGCUCGAUUUGUACCUUACAUCUGGUUUUUCCAUUACCCGGUCCUCCUUAUCUUCUGCUACAUCAGAAGUUUUGAGUGUUUAGGGGAUGUGGCGUCAUAUAACAACCCGACCCACUCUCGGGCUCGGGCCCCUAGUUCGACGGAUCCUAACCGGGCCCCCUAGCAGUUUCGGCUCCAACCCUAAAAAGGCUAGGAACCAGGUCAAUCAUCUCAUUAAUGACCUCCCUUUAUAAGUUCUUGAAGAUCCCUCACAAUCUUCGAUACGGGACUAAAUUUCUGACGCCAUCUGAGGGAAACCCCAGUCAGCCUACUGCAAGAAUUUACCCAAACUUUAGUCCGGUAGAUUGGCCUAAAGGAUAAGUUGUUAGUCGCUGGUGGACUUCAUGAAGAACUUAUCCUUUGAAACUUCAAAUAAAUCUCUUUCGGUGCUUUGAAGUGAAUGCUGACACUGGUAAACAGAAUUUUUGAAGGUUUCUCCCUUUGUUCAGGGGCCUUUUCCAUGUACUGUAGAACUAAAGUUUUUGUAAUUUUCUUGUUCAGACAGCGAAUACUUUGAGGCUAAGAAGCUUGUGCAUAUUGAUAGUACUUGUCUAGAGAAAAAUGCAUAAAUAGUAUCCAUAUAUCUGCAACAUGCUUCCUUGUGUAAAAACUCUAGAACUUCCUAUGAUUGCAUCCCAGGCAAAUCGAGCAUCCUGAACUUGAUGCUCCAUAGAAUUGUUUGCCUUUUGACAGUUAAAAGUAUGAAAUGUUUUGAUGUCAAUAUGUCAUCUUGUAAACACAUGCAUCAAAUCAUCCAAAUUGUGAGGAAAAGGGGAAGGAGAUUAAAGAGACAAAAGAAGUGAACGCCCAAAUGCUGGAAGGAAGUAAUUUUGACAAUUAGGAACAUGCAACUAUUGAAUGUCAUUUUCUUAACCUGUAACCACAAGCCUCAAAGCAUCCACGUGCGAAGUAAGAAAAUGAAAAAAUGGAAAAAGAGGGGGAGAGAUAUAGAGAGAGAGAUGACCAAGAGAUUUUCCUCUAGAUGAAAAUUUCCUGUCUUUUUUAUUGGUGAUGUGCUAAUAACAACCUUGAGAACAUUUUAUUAGCGUUUUGUUAUCCUUCCCAGUUAACAAGUCUUUACUUUAUUAUGCUUUAUGUGUUUCUUGUGUUACAUUAUUUAGUUCAGUUUGGAGUGUCCUGCACCAGAAUGACAGACGAUGGCACUGCGAUAACAAAUGCUGUUGAAAUAUACAAUAGUUCUGGGUAUUUAGUUGUUUAUGCCUGAUGACUUGUAAAUGAUUCAACUAUAAGAUAUUAUUAUCGUACAUGUGUUUCUCUGGUAUACUGGUGCUCCCAUUGUCAUAGCUUCAAAUAACUGAUUGUGGAGUCAGAGUUUGAUGUGAAGAGGUUUCACCUCCGAAGCAUUUUACUUUUCCAUGGCCAGUGUAUGUGAGUCUCUGUUGAUUGAUUUCCUUCUUGUCUGGCUGUUUGUCAGGCCCUUAUGCUGCCUUUUGGUUCAAGAGUGUCUUGAAGGUUGUAUUUUGAUAUUUUUAUUUCACAGCAAACACUUCACUAGGUCCGGUUGGUAAGAUUAUCAUCAUUGUGGGCAGCCACCCUGAUGGAAUGCUGGUUGAUUCUUAGUGCAGCAGGGUAAUGUUGCUUGAGUACUUACCCUCAUUUAAAGCACUGAUUUAAUUGGUCGUACUAGAGGGCUGCAUUUGUUAUAUGUAUAUUUUUUUGUGUUCUCUUCUAUAGAAUAUAUAAGCUGGGAUUCUUAGAUUAUGUUGUCUAACAUCUGUGCUGCCUGUUGUUAUUGAGAUAUGUGUACAGAUGGACUCAAAUGUCCAAAACCACAGGGAUUUGAAUCUCAGUUUUUUUGUCCAGGAAGCUCUCUAUAAGACUGGAUCCUGAAACAAAAGAUAUCUGGGGACAAAAGGGCGAGCACGGAAAGGAAAAAGGUUCAGAUAAUUUCAUGAGCCGACAAAACUAAGAUGCCACCACGCAGAGUGUUGGGGACCUGGAUGACCCAGGCAGCCACAUAAAAGUGGAUUCUGCUAGGAAGAUGCUGCACCCGUGUCAACAUAGUUGGACAUUAGUGUGGCACUGGGUUUGCCAUGGAGAUGGUGAAUGUCAUGUUGUGUGCAGUCUGCUGGAUUUGUCCAAAAAUGGACUUUGGUUACCUUGACCAAAUCUAUUUCCCACUUUUUUAAGUUUAAAUUAAAUUAAUUUACAUUGAUUUUUGUAUGUUUGUUACUUUGUUUAUCAAUUUGUAAGUAUGAAUUUUGGUUUAUGAAUGUAUUGCUUGUUAUUUGCUUGCUUAAAACAAUUUAAAAUUUUAAUUUGCUAUGAUAGAUACACAAACUCAGGCUUGGCCAAGUCCCUGCAGCCAAGUGUUUCUAGAAUGGCCUGCACCCUGUCAACACGUAGAUGCAGCCGUGUGCAUAGGUUACUAUGAUAUUCACAAAUGAUAAUUGCUGUUGUAUAACUGAGAAAAUAAGAAAAUGAUCUUAAAUCUCAUGAAAUUUGUAUAAGAAUAUAUUUGGCAGCACCACAGAAAAUUGAGAACUUAAAUAUAGUACUAUUAUGACCACACGAUAGGGCAAUUUAAUUGUUUCUGUAAUUUAAAGAGUUUUUCCUUCCACUUCUAAGUGCCUUACUGACCACUUCUUUUUCGUGAAAGUUUCUUAGUAAAAAGUUGCUUGUAGAAUUUUUUUUUUAUGAUGAUCUUCUUUUGUAGCUGUUGUUUUCUGUUUUUACGGAUCCUCUUUUGUUGCUUUACUGGCAUUUGUAAUGAAAGUGAGGCAUGUUUUCAGGAGUUGAUAGGAACAAAUACCCUCUAAAAUUGUUUUUCAUGAGUAAGCUAGCUCAAACGUGGUUUCCAUGCAGAUGGUUAUGCCCCUGUUAAGUCACCUGGAUUGUUCCUUUGGAACUGCAUGGAACUCCCUUUUUGCCACUGGAAAGCAAGAUAAGACAUACUGCAUUUGGGACCUUAGUUACCUGUCGAAUCUCUUGCUCAAAAAAAACAAAAAAAAAAACAAGGGGUAUCAGGGCAACUUGAGUGCACUCGGAUCUUUCCAGUUUACUUCUGAUGGGCAGUUAUUGUGAAUGACUGAGCCACCUGACUUUGUCCAACUGUUUGACACAAAGAAUGGUGGGAGCAAAGAGCAAGAGAUCAAUUUCUUUGGUGAGAUCACUACCGUGUCAUUCAGCCCAGACACCAAAUUGUUUCUCGUUUGGACUCUGGUAUGAACUUAUGGCAGUCUUCUACAAUGCCUGCGGAUCAACAGUUGAUGCUAUCUGACUCGAUCUGUUGAGAACAUGCUUUGCUUGGAAGCAGAAACUCACGGUAAUGCAUUUUAGCAGACAGGUGCUGUUGGAGGUAGGGCUAGGAAAUGAACUUAUAGCAGCUCUUGGUGCUCCGCACUUUAGCCCAUGAAAUUGCUAGUUCAUGAUCCUUCGAUAAACUUGGCGAGCAAAGCUUUGGUUCAUUUCCAUAUUUGAAUAAGCCAACUAUGGACGCUAGCUGCUCAGGUUGGACCAACUCGUAUGGAAUGGUACCUGUGCAACUAAUAUAUUUACAUGUACACACUGUACUAUUUAUACAUACAGAUGUAUUACUUUGCAAGAGUAAUGUUUAUAUGCAUACUAUGUUAUGUUAUGCAAUAUAUUUUGAUA